rnacentral:rRNA from 1 species
AUUGAACGCUGGCGGAAUGCUUUACACAUGCAAGUCGAACGGCAGCACGGACUUCGGUCUGGUGGCGAGUGGCGAACGGGUGAGUAAUAUAUCGGAACGUGCCCAGUCGUGGGGGAUAACGUAGUGAAAAUUACGCUAAUACCGCAUACGAUCUACGGAUGAAAGCGGGGGAUCGCAAGACCUCGCGCGAUUGGAGCGGCCGAUAUCAGAUUAGGUAGUUGGUGAGGUAAAGGCUCACCAAGCCGAUGAUCUGUAGCUGGUCUGAGAGGACGACCAGCCAAACUGGGACUGAGACACGGCCCAGACUCCUACGGGAGGCAGCAGUGGGGAAUUUUGGACAAUGGACGCAAGUCUGAUCCAGCCAUUCCGCGUGCAGGACGAAGGCCUUCGGGUUGUAAACUGCUUUUGUACAGAACGAAAAGGUCUCUAUUAAUACUGGGGGCUCAUGACGGUACUGUAAGAAUAAGCACCGGCUAACUACGUGCCAGCCGCCGCCGUAACAC